UGAUUUAUGAGCCCGAGAGGGAGAUAGUGGAGCUGUCGUGAAUGAGUGUGUGAGUGGUGCACAUAUAUCUUGGCGGCAAGGACCUCACAUAUCACAGGCACACACAGGCCUCAGACUUCCGGAAAGUGACAGUCUCCCUAGACGUCUUGAGAAAAGAGAAAGUUCCAGAAAGUGAAAUCAACAUCAUGAAACUAACAACAACGCUACUCCUGAUAUGUUUGCUGACUGUGAAAUCUGCGGUACAGACUCCUUUGCCAAAUCGGUCCCUGUGGUGGCAAUGUGAAUUCGUGUGUGAAGAGCAGUACAAGCCCGUCUGUGCAGUGGACGAAACUGGAGUCAUGAAGAGUUUCCCAAACCGAUGCAAAUUUGAACUCGCCAACUGCAUGUCUAUCAGAUACCACGCCGUGGUGAAGGAGGGCGAAUGCUGAUAGCGGACUUUAUGACGUAAACCACACCGUCUCCUGACCAGAUAAUAUAACCAAAUACAAGUGAUCAAGGAAGAAAGGACAGCAACGCAGUUUUUCAUUGGAGCUUCAGUACAAUAGAUUAAACUGUGAAUCUCACAUAUAUGUAAUUAAACUCCGUUAGAAUAAGUUAACCAGUAAGAAAUUAUCCUCAUUUUAUAAAAUCGGUAGACAACAGAAUUAUUCAAACUGAGAAGUAACUAUAUCAAACAAACAAUCUUUCAAUAUGGAGACAUAUUCCUUCUUUACCCCUUAAAUCGAUGUAAACCCCCUCAACUCCAAGUUUAGCGGUUUUCUUGUAAUAAACUUCAACUUCUUCAUACGUGAGUGUUUACUUAUUUAUGUAAGCUCAGAACGUAGAGGUAAGAUAUUUUAGAAUAGUUAAAGGCUGCACUAAAGUAGUUCUUAUUAAGAAUGAAGAAUUAUAAAGAACUGAAAGUAAAAUAAGAAAAUAACAGAAAAGAUGAACGCACAUGAAACUCGAUAAAUCAUUUGGGAAAAAAUUGACGAAAGAACACCCAAACGAAUUCUACAGCAUAAGAGAAAAUGACGAGGUGACCGAGGAAGACCUUGGAAAAAGAUGGAAUGAAUGUGAGAAGCCUGAAAAGACAUUACUGCCCGUACCGUAAAAGGGAGAAAAAUACACCAACGACAAUAUUCCUUCGGUACCGUAACUCAAAACCUGCUACUAGACAUGAUCCUAAGCCAGCUCUAUCCGCGUCCUCUGAUUAUAUCAAUCUCCGUUUUCCAGUAACUAUUUCAAGAGGUUCAUUAUCACCACCACCACCAUCAUCAUCAUCAUCAUCAUCAUCUCGAUGUAUUUGGCCCUGUUUUGGGCGUUUCGUCCUUGAAAAUUUCGUUGGUCCCUCCGUCUUAACUGUAGGCGCCCCAUGUUUCCUCGUCUUGUUGGUUUGUAUGUUAAAAUUUUCUUUGAAGUUCGUCUAUCUUCCUUUCGUAGAACGUAAUGCUUCCACUGCGAACUAUAUUUUAAAAUUUUAUUAUUAAACUUAAAGUAUUCAUUUCGAAUUACUGGAUUUUGUUACUUUGUUCAUCAGUCGGUAUUCUACAAAACUAGAAAAUACCGGACAGUGGGCAGAACCCAGUAAUUCCGACUGUUAUACACCAUCGUCAGAACUCUUUAGAAUCUGCUUGAAGUAUUCAGUUCUUCAUAGUUCUUUGUAUUUCUUAUUUGAUCCUUUCUUGUGUGGCCUGAUACACUCGGCAAAAAUUUAGGCUCUGUGUUUUUUUUAUUAUAGUCCAAGUUUCGUAUCCAUAUGUAAGUAGAGAUACCACCAUAUUUUUAUAGAAUUUUAUCUGUGUAAUA